rnacentral:rRNA from 1 species
UUGACUGUGCUAAGGUAGCAUAAUAAAUUGGCUUUUAAUUGAAGUCGGGAAUGAAAGGGUGUUUGGAGUUAUUCUGUCUUAUUUUUACUUUUUAAAAAUUACUAAUGAGGUGAAAAUUCCUCAAUAUUUUUUGAUAGACGAGAAGACCCUAAGAAUUAUUGCAAUUAUUAAAAAUUUUAGUAAAAGUUUUUGUUGGGGCAACAGCUUUGAAAAUAAAUAACCAAAGUUAAAUUUAUUAUAACAUAAAAAGAUUAUAUUAAGAAUGAAUUUAAUUACCUUAGGGAUAACAGCAUAAUUAAUAUUUUAGAUUGUGACCUCGAUGUUGGAUUAAGGCCU